rnacentral:rRNA from 1 species
AUGCAGUCGAACGGAAACGAUGGGAGCUUGCUCCCAGGCGUCGAGUGGCGGACGGGUGAGUAAUACUUAGGAAUCUACCCAGUAGCGGGGGACAACUCGAGGAAACUCGAGCUAAUACCGCAUACGCCCUACGGGGGAAAGCAGGGGAUCUUCGGACCUUGCACUAUUGGAUGAGCCUAAGUCGGAUUAGCUUGUUGGUGAGGUAAAGGCUCACCAAGGCGACGAUCCGUAGCUGGUCUGAGAGGACGAUCAGCCACACUGGGACUGAGACACGGCCCAGACUCCUACGGGAGGCAGCAGUGGGGAAUAUUGGACAAUGGGGGCAACCCUGAUCCAGCAAUGCCGCGUGUGUGAAGAAGGCCUGCGGGUUGUAAAGCACUUUCAGUAGAGAAGAAAAGCCUACGGUUAAUACCCGUAAGUCUUGACGUUACCUACAGAAGAAGCUCCGGCUAACUCCGUGCCAGCAGCCGCGGUAAUACGGAGGGAGCGAGCGUUAAUCGGAAUUACUGGGCGUAAAGCGCGCGUAGGCGGCUUUGUAAGUCGGAUGUGAAAGCCCUGGGCUCAACCUGGGAAUGGCAUUCGAUACUGCAGAGCUAGAGUAUGGUAGAGGGAAGUGGAAU